ACUCCUUUUAAACUAAGGAACGUUCCUUAGUUAAGGAACGUUCCUUCUGUUUUUUUUUCUCUCUCUCUUUCACGAGUGUUGUCGGAGUGUUGUUCUUCUUCCACUGAAAUUCACAAGAUUUCCGAUUAUUUUCAACAAAUCAGAGUGAAGCUUUCCCCAAUCGGUUUGUCAUGGUAAGGGAAACAGUUUUGUUGCAUUGUGGAUUUUUUAAUGCUAAUGGGGGAUUUUGGAUUUUGGAUAAGGAUAAGAGGUUUAUGCAAACAUGUGAAGUUGUAGUCUCGACGUGUGCUUUUGGUGGUGGAGAUAAAAUCUUUAUGAACCUAUUGGAAUGUCUAAGGCAUCAAGUCACAAGGUUUGCUAUGUUGCGUUUUGGGAUGAAGUUACUCUUGCAAUACAAGAAGCAGAGGGGUCAUAAGAUCAAUGAGAAUGAUCACAUUGGAAAGUGGCGUAUAGUGAUUGUAAAGGAUAUGCCGUUUACAGACCAAAGGCUUACUUUCUUUUUUCAAGUGAGUUAUUAGAGUUGUUGAAUGUGUAAGAGAGUCGAGCUCAUGUUUGUAAGUUUAGUCUAAUCUCUAGAAGUCUAAGUGUGUGUAGUUAGUAGAAGAGUAACUAACUACUAUAAGAAUGCUAUGUGUGUGAUGUUGUAUAGAGCUCAAAUUCCACACACUAAAGAUACCAUGAUACUAACAAGAAGCAACAAUUCAAAAAUUUUGGUC